GCGGGAGCCGAGCCGUGAGGGCGCGCGGGGUGUGGGAGGUGCGCGGGGCCCUCGCUCUGGCCCAUAGAGAACAGCGUGGAAAAAAGCCCCAACGUGCCGGGCCAGUGGCGCAAUGGAUAACGCGUCUGACUACGGAUCAGAAGAUUGUGCUAUGUGGGGUGUGGAAAAACAUGUUUGGCAGCAGCUCCUGGCUUGGAGAGUGUAAACGUGUCUGAAAGUGUCCAAAUCUGUCUGCAUAGCAGGGGGAGAAUGGAAGUGAAGUUUUCUCCUUCAACAGAACCCCGUGCUUGGGAAGUAUCAGAAGCAUCAGAACAAGGCCGUGUACUGCUCCAGCUUGUUACCUCUUACCUAAAGAUUACCUGAAGUAAGAUUUUCUGCACAUCUACAACAGGAUAGAAAUGAAGGGAGCUGACCCUACAGCAUUAUAAAAAGAGCAACACAAGAGACAUGAGGAAGCAAAACUUGCAAUAAGCAGAUCCAUCAGAGGCUCUGGCCUUACACUACCUCUCCUUGUUUGCAGGCUCCAUUAGCAGUC
rnacentral:lncRNA from 1 species